CCAGUGUCUCGCAGUCAGAGGGCAGCCAGCACUCCUGGUGCCCUGCGAAGGCAUGGCCGUCCACUGAGGAUGAAGCGAGCGGCGCAGAGGAUACCACAAUGCAGGCAGAGCCACGGGCAUCACAGUGACUGUGCAGGCCUGAGGCCCAUGGAGCCCUGGCCACCCCGGACAACAUCAGUCCCGCGACGGAGGCUGGCAUCACCGUGGGUGGACACACGAGAAUUAUGUGGCAAACGGCAGAAUAGAGGGAGAGGUGAAGUCAGGCCAUACUUGCAACCUACCACACCAGGUUCAAAAUCACCAGAUAGAUCAAUAAGUCAGCUUGAAAUACUCUAGAAGCCAGCCUUCAGAAGACCUCCAGCCAAACCAGGAAGUGGCAUCCAAAGCUGACACGGGCUGACUUCCAAAGAGCAGACAGAGAGGCGAAGAAACGGAUUAAAAAUUCUGAGUUUGCCUACAAGGGUGGAUUCUGGAACAAAGUGGCCUGGAGCCUCUGACACUUUUCCUAGAAUAUCACCUUUCUGAUGACAGCCAUCUCUGUAAUUACAAUGAUAAUUGCUUCCAAUGUAAAAUACCACUUAUCUGGCUAGAAGAGCUGUCUGGGUCAAGGCAAAAAACAGAAAAUAAAACAAACAAAAAAACAAUGUUCAAUUUCUUGUUGUCAAAUGAAUAAUGUUAUCAUCAUUAAACCAAUUCUAGAGGAUAAUCUGGUGGAGGAAGGUGGCUUAAUUUAGGACUGGCGGGGACAUCAAACUAAAUAUAAGUGUUGUGUGUUCCACGCACCGGAAGUCCUUCCUCAAUGUUUACAGUGAGACACCAAAAGUAAAAGACAGGACCCAAGCCCAGGGCAUUGGGAGGGAAGCAAGAAGGGACUCAAAUGCCACAGAAUGGAAGGCAGGAUUCCACAGAUGUGAGCAAUUUAUCUCAAAACAAGCAUUUCAAAAGGCUGAGAAAAGAGAGAGAGACAGAGAGUGAGACCCCGCCCCCCAUUUUCACAGUAUUAUAAGUGGGCUGCCUUUCCCAAGGUCCUGCCAUGUCAGGGUCUUUGUGUGUGUGCAUGUGUGUCCGUGUGUGUGUGCAUAUGUGUGUGUGUGCCCACACGAGUGUGUGUGCAUUUGUGUCCAUGUGUGUGCACACGCCAGUGUGUGCACGCGCGAGUAUGUGUAUGCAAGCAUGUGUGCGUGUGUGUGUGUGUGUCUGUG
rnacentral:lncRNA from 1 species